rfam:Triticum aestivum genome assembly, contig: Triticum_aestivum_CS42_TGACv1_scaffold_404609_5BL
CAUGUACUCCCUCCGGCCAAAAAUACUUGUCAUCAAAAUGGAUGUAUCUAGCUUUUAUCCAUUUUGAUGGUAUUUUGAUGACAAGUAUUUUUGGACGGAGGGAGUACUAC